CAAUUUUUAUACGUGUGCAUGCAAAUAAAUUUCUUGUUAGAGGGGUCUAAAUACAGCACAAACAACAUUUCCAAAAGACCAAAAUAGUGAAAAAGUAUAUUUUAACAAAACGCAUUUGACUAACAGGUCGAACAACAAAUGUUCUUAAACCCUGCUGACUGCCAUUGGCGAUUGCCAAAUAAACGGAUCACCGAUGUAAUAAAUGGAUCUUAAUUUUAAAUUUAAUACUAAACAGAAAACAAUAAACUUGCGGAGAAGAUGAUAUACCGCAAACAAAAGGUGCAAAGGUUUUUGUACACCAUAUCCGGAUUUCGACAAAUAAUGUCUCUUCAGUGAUGUUAGGAAUCGAAAAGGUAUUUGGAAAGCCCAACAAUUUACCUCAAUUUAGGAUAGACUCUUGAAUUUUGAGGAGUCAAAAUAGGAUGAACGGAUCAUAUAAACCCUAAGGCAAAUAUAAUACAAGCCCAAACGAAAAAAUAUAAACAAGUCUAAAUUGAAAACAACGUUCAAACCUAUGAUUGCAUUGGAUAAAAACCGCAAUUUUUAUACGUGUGCAUGCAAAACAAAUUUCUUGUUAGAGGGGUCUAAAUACAGCACAAACAACAUUUCCAAAAGACCAAAAUAGUGAAAAAGUAUAUUUUAACAAAACCUAUUUGACUAACAGGUCGAACAACAAAUGUUCUUAAACCCUGCUGACUGCCAUUGGCGAUUGCCAAAUAAACGGAUCACCGAUGUAAU